rnacentral:rRNA from 1 species
GAUGAACGCUGGCGGCGUGCCUAAUACAUGCAAGUCGAGCGAACGGACGAGAAGCUUGCUUCUCUGAUGUUAGCGGCGGACGGGUGAGUAACACGUGGAUAACCUACCUAUAAGACUGGGAUAACUUCGGGAAACCGGAGCUAAUACCGGAUGAUAUUUUGAACCGCAUGGUUCAAAAGUGAAAGACGGUCUUGCUGUCACUUAUAGAUGGAUCCGCGCUGCAUUAGCUAGUUGGUAGGGUAACGGCUUACCAAGGCAACGAUGCAUGGCCGACCUGAGAGGGUGAUCGGCCACACUGGAACUGAGACACGGUCCAGACUCCUACGGGAGGCAGCAGUAGGGAAUCUUCCGCAAUGGGCGAAAGCCUGACGGAGCAACGCCGCGUGAGUGAUGAAGGUCUUCGGAUCGUAAAACUCUGUUAUUAGGGAAGAACAUAUGUGUAAGUAACUGUGCACAUCUUGACGGUACCUAAUCAGAAAGCCACGGCUAACUACGUG